GGGGAAUUUUUCGCAAUGGGGGCAACCCUGACGAAGCAAUGCCGCGUGAAUGAAGAAGGCCUUCGGGUUGUAAAGUUCUUUCGUGGAAGACGAAAAGGUGGGUGCUAAUAUCGCCUACUGUUGACGUGAAUCCAAGAAGAAGCACCGGCUAACUCCGUGCCAGCAGCCGCGGUAAUACGGGGGGUGCAAGCGUUAAUCGGAAUCACUGGGCGUAAAGGGCGCGUAGGCGGUGCAUUACGUCUGUCGUGAAAUCCCCGGGCUCAACCUGGGAAUGGCGGUGGAAACGGGUGUACUAGAGUAUGGGAGAGGGUGAUGGAAUUCCAGGUGUAGCGGUGAAAUGCGUAGAGAUCUGGAGGAACAUCAGUGGCGAAGGCGGUCACCUGGCCCAAUACUGACGCUGAGGCGCGAAAGCGUGGGGAGCAAACAGGAUUAGAUACCCUGGUAGUCCACGCCCUAAACGAUGGAUACUAGAUGUUUGGUGCCAAGCGUGCUGAGUGUCGUAGCUAACGCGAUAAGUAUCCCGCCUGGGAAGUACGGCCGCAAGGUUAAAACUCAAAGGAAUUGACGGGGGC
rnacentral:rRNA from 1 species